rnacentral:lncRNA from 1 species
UAAUUAAAACAAUGGAAAACAGAAUUUGAGUCUCCAAGGUUUCUAAUAAGCCAGAAAAAAGGGUUCCAUUAAAUGCUAAUCAGUUCCUCUAAUUUGCUCUCCUUCCUUCUAGUUGCAGAUGGGUGACUGCUGCCUGAUCCUGGGUGAGAGGCAUUUUCUUUGCCAGUUGUCCAAAGAAUGGAAAUUUCCUGCAGUUUCACAGACAUAAUGGAUAUAUGCUGACUUUUUAAAAGCCAUCUGUUACUAGGGGCAAAAAGAAAUAAAAGAGGAAAAUACUUACUUUUAGACUCUCUAAUAUACGUGAAAAAAAAUCUUCCUAAAGAAAUGAGCAAAAAAAAAAAAAGAAAGAAAGAAAAGAAAAGAACAACAGUCUUCAUAAAUCUGGAUCCUAGUACUCAUAUUGCAGGUUACCAGGUUCCAAGUGGCAUCUUAAGACCGGGAGGACACAAGGAACAAGGUGCAGCCUAAUCUGAAGAACAAGGGCAGUUCCUACGGAUGUGGACCUUGAGCAUCAGCUGGGCAGAAUGAAGUGAGACAGAAGCUGUCUCCUCGCUGAGUCUGGCAGCCAAAGAGGCUCAGGGGCCCGGACCCAGGAUGAACCUCAUGGGAAACCUCUUGGACCUCACCUUGCAGAUUCUACCAACUUUGCUACUAGGCUGUAACCUUGAUGAAUGGAAAAGGCAGAUCUCACCAGAUAAAGGAGGAGACCAAGUCAGACAACAAGGAAAUUAUCCACAUCAAACCCUCUGUUGCGAGUUCAAAAUGGUUGGAUGCAGUGCUUUUCUUAUAGCAGAAGUACUAUGGGGGAGGGGAGUUGCAUGCCUGCAUUGUCUCACAUGUUUCUACUUGCCUUCUUUCUCUGCUACCUGCCUCCAUGAGAAGAGCAUCCCAGGGAUUGUCCACUUAUCCCAGAAGGUGAAUGAAAGACACUUGGAAAUGGAACAGAACUUUUCACCUCAGACAAGAGCAACUGCUUCGCAAAUUACUCAGAGUAGCUUGAACUAA